AGCCCCCUGAGUGGUAGGGACGAUUAUUUGGCCUAAAGCGUCCGUAGCCGGCUUAACAAGUCUUUCGUUAAAUCCAGCGACUUAAUCGUUGAACCGCGAAAGAUACUGUUAGGCUAGAGGACGGGAGAAGUCGACGGUAUUCCUGGGGUAGGGGUGAAAUCCUAUAAUCCCAGGAGGACCACCAGUGGCGAAGGCGGUCGACUAGAACGUGCCUGACGGUGAUGGACGAAAGCUAGGGGAGCGAACCGGAUUAGAUACCCGAGUAGUCC
rnacentral:rRNA from 1 species